CUCUGCCCCUCCCUCUCCUCGGCUCUCGGCGCUGCUGCUGCGUGAAUGUCCCAGCUCAGCAUGGAGUACACUGUUGUACACAGUGAGAGCUGGCAGUGUGUCUAGCUUCUUGGUUUCCAAAAGCCAGAAUUGAGCACAUGUGGCUUCACUCAUCCUAUAU